UAUACUGCGAGACUGCGAAUGGCUCAUUAAAUCAGUUAUCGUUUAUUUGAUAGUACCUUACUACUUGGAUAACCGUGGUAAUUCUAGAGCUAAUACAUGCUAAAAACCCCGACUCACGGAGGGGUGUAUUUAUUAGAUUAAAAACCAAUGCCCUUCGGGGCUCUUUGGUGAUUCAUAAUAACUUCUCGAAUCGCAUGGCCUUGCGCCGGCGAUGGUUCAUUCAAAUUUCUGCCCUAUCAACUUUCGAUGGCAGGGUCUUGGCCUGCCAUGGUUACAACGGGUAACGGAGGGUUAGGGCUCGACCCCGGAGAAGGAGCCUGAGAAACGGCUACUACAUCCAAGGAAGGCAGCAGGCGCGCAAAUUACCCAAUCCCGAUACGGGGAGGUAGUGACAAUAAAUACUGAUACAGGGCUCUUUUGGGUCUUGUAAUUGGAAUGAGUACAAUUUAAAUCCCUUAACGAGGAACAAUUGGAGGGCAAGUCUGGUAAGCAAUCUGCUGGUGCCAGAUAGAGUGAGGCCCUACAACUCACUAGUCGAACGCAUCCGUCAGUGGCGGGUGGAUGCCGGCGAGACAACCUGGAUCGGGGAAGGCUAAGGGCCCCAGGCCUAUGCUAAUCCCGAGCGGAGCUACCCUGUAGCCCGUGUAGAGCGCGGAAAGGUGUCGGUCUUGCGAGCGCAAGGCUUAAGGGACGUGCCAGACCCUGCAGAAAUGCAGGCCAGCUACUCGAGCGCCCGCCGCGCGAAGGUAGUUGGGCGCUAUAGCGUGCUAUAGCGUCGUAUAGUGGGUAACUAAAACGGGCCAGCAGCCGCGGUAAUUCCAGCUCCAAUAGCGUAUAUUAAAGUUGUUGCAGUUAAAAAGCUCGUAGUUGAA
rnacentral:rRNA from 1 species